rnacentral:rRNA from 1 species
UACGUAGGCAGCAAGCGUUGUUCGGAGUUACUGGGCGUAAAGGGUGCGUAGGCGGCUUUUUAAGUUUGGUGUGAAAUCUCCCGGCUCAACUGGGAGGGUGCGCCGAAUACUGAGAGGCUAGAGUGUGGGAGAGGAAAGUGGAAUUCCUGGUGUAGCGGUGAAAUGCGUAGAUAUCAGGAGGAACACCGGUGGUGUAAACGGCUUUCUGGACCAUAACUGACGCUGAGGCACGAAAGCCAGGGGAGCAAACGGG